rnacentral:misc_RNA from 1 species
UUGGGCGACUUUUUUCGAGUUGAUACCUAAUUUGGUAUCGUAUUUAUCAUCUUAUUUUUUAGAGAUGAUUUUUGUAUCACGCGCUUGGUGGAACCAAAAACGCUUUCUGCCUGUUGAUUUAGACAUGAGAUAUCCUUCUUAACUUUAGUAUAAACAUGCAUCAAUACG